rnacentral:rRNA from 1 species
AUUGAACGCUGGCGGCAGGCCUAACACAUGCAAGUCGAGCGGAUGACGGGAGCUUGCUCCUUGAUUCAGCGGCGGACGGGUGAGUAAUGCCUAGGAAUCUGCCUGGUAGUGGGGGACAACGUUUCGAAAGGAACGCUAAUACCGCAUACGUCCUACGGGAGAAAGCAGGGGACCUUCGGGCCUUGCGCUAUCAGAUGAGCCUAGGUCGGAUUAGCUAGUAGGUGAGGUAAUGGCUCACCUAGGCGACGAUCCGUAACUGGUCUGAGAGGAUGAUCAGUCACACUGGAACGGAGACACGGUCCAGGCUCCUACGGGAGGCAGCAGUGGGGAAUAUUGGACAAUGGGCGAAAGCCUGAUCCAGCCAUGCCGCGUGUGUGAAGAAGGUCUUCGGAUUGUAAAGCACUUUAAGUUGGGAGGAAGGGCGGUAAGUUAAUACCUUGCUGUUUUGACGUUACCGACAGAAUAAGCACCGGCUAACUCUGUGCCAGCCGCCGCGGUAAUAC